GUAGGUGGUUUGUAAAGCGAAUAGUGAAAUCUGGCGGCUCAACCGUACAGGCUAUUAUUCGAACUCACAAACUCGAGAAUGGUAGAGGUUACUGGAACUUCUAGUGUAGGAGUGAAAUCCGUAGAUAUUAGAAGGAACACCAAUGGCGUAGGCAGGUAACUGGACCAUUUCUGACACUAAGGCACGAAAGCGUGGGGAGCGAACCGGAUUAGAUACCCGGGUAGUCCACGCCGUAAACGAUGGAUACUAGCUGUUGGAGGUAUCGACCCCUUCAGUAGCGAAGCUAACGCGUUAAGUAUCCCGCCUGUGGAGUACGGUCGCAAGACUAAAACAUAAAGGAAUUGACGGGGACCCGCACAAGCGGUGGAUCGUGUUCUUUAAUUCGAUGCUAAACGAAGAACCUUACCAGGGCUUGACAUCCAGGGAAUUUCUGGGAAACCAGUUAGUGCCUUUUGGAACCCUGUGACAGGUGAUGCAUGGCCGUCGUCAGCUCGUGUCGUGAGAUGUUUGGUUAAGUCCAUCAACGAGCGCAACCCUUGUACUUAGUUGAAUUUUUCUAGGUAGACUGCCCCGGUAACGGGGAGGAAGGAGGGGGAUGAUGCCAGGUCAGUAUUUCCCUUACGUCCUGGGCUAGAAACACGAUACAAUGGCAAGUACAAUGCGCAGCGAAGCCGCGAGGUGGAGCAAAUCGCAUCAAAGCUUGUCCCAGUUCGGAUUGGAGGCUGAAACUCGCCUCCAUGAAGUCGGAAUCGCUAGUAAUCGCAAAUCAGCAAGUUGCGGUGAAUACGUUCCCGGGUCUUGUACACACCGCCCGUCAAACCAUGAAAGUGACCAACACCCGAAGUCCGAUUCGUCGGCCUAAGGUGGGGGGCAUGAUUGGGGUU
rnacentral:rRNA from 1 species